CAAUAGCGUAGCCUAAAGCCUCUUUUGGCAUCUCUCCCUUAUAUAUUCCUUCCUGUGAGUCAGGUGAGGAAUUUGAUUGGGGCGAUACAGCUGCCAAAGUACAAUGCAGGCUUUCUAAGGCAAGCUCAGAGAGGAUAAAAAUCUCUUGUGGAACAAAAGGGGAAAAGCAUGCCUGAUACUGAUUUUCCGCAUAGAUAUGGACUAUGAAAAAGGGACUUCAUGAUUCUUUUGACUUUUCGAAUUUUAAGCAGGAGUUAUCAGAAGAGUUAUCACAAUGAUAACUGGCUUGUAGAGUCUGAGUAUUCAUAGUGAUAUCUCUUUCCGAUCCUUUGAUAUUGGCUCUUCCUAUUACCAUAAAGGAGAAUUCACCAGGCUUUGGACAGUCUGCCAGACGGUGGGAAACAUAAUCUGGGCUUAGACGGUCUUUAGAUAGGUCAGUUUUACCCUACUAAUG
rnacentral:ncRNA from 1 species